rnacentral:lncRNA from 1 species
UAUAUCAUUAUCUUCGCCCAUACUAUAUCGAGGAACCUCCUGACAUCAUUAUCAAUCCUUCCCAAUGUCGCACCCGUCACUUAUAGUCACGACUGGUGUAUCGCCGCUUAUCACCAUAACUUGCCACUCCUAGUGACCAUUUACCCUAUUACACAUCUCAUCUCAUCACUUGAUAUCAUCAUGGGCCUUGUACAACUACAAUUGAUCAUUAAGAAUCGACCACCAAUAACAAAUAUAAGUAAAUUUUCUUGAUUAUCAAAAAUAAAAAUUGAUAAUUUUAUAGCAUAAAAUAGUGGUUAAUAUAGUAUAAACGGAUGAUUUUGGUUGUAAGCAAUGAUUGUCGGAGUAGUUUCUAACUUCCGGAAUAAUAUUGAUUUUUUAUUUGAUCACUUGAAACAAGGAAAAUGGAGAGGAUUAACAGAGGAUGGAGGUUUGUCUUGGCGAGGUCUAGUGUUAAAAUACUGGCUUCUGUUUUACCCGCCUGUACAAAAGAGUAGAAGCAUUUUUAAGAAUUUCUAAAAAGAGAAGUAAAAGUUGAGAAAAUUAGCUUUUUAUAACUCGUACUUCUAUUCCAUCGUCUUUUAUAGUAACGCUUUACUUUGUUAAAUAAUUAUACAUUUUAAGUACAAUUAUCCAAAUACUUAUGUAACUUAUAAGUCAUAUUAUUCAAAUUUUUUGAUAACUUAUAAAUCAUAACAUACUUUAUCGCUUAUAAUCUGUUUAUUUAUUUUACCCAAUGAGUAAAUUUUAAAUUAAGCCAACUAGCAUCCCAUGUAUACGGUUUUACUCCAACAACUAAAAUAAAAAUCAAACAAAGUCCUAUGCAAUUAAGGAAAAUGUGAAAUAUUAUGGGCUCGGGAAUGGACUCUGAGAUGGGUCUUGAUGAGAUUGGGCUGGGACCUAAUAAGUUGGGGGUGAGGCCUUGUAACACUUAGCCACUUAGGUGUGGACUGUUGAACAUGUCUAAAAUCUGUUUAGAGUCUUGGUGAUGCUUCGGAAGUUUUAAAUAGAUUUGUUGUUGGUUGAUUGAUCAGAGUUGGAUGGAAAAGGGGUGAAGGGCUGUUGGGCGGAACUCGCGUCGGCAAGGCCGACGGAGUUUCGCGGCGGAUGCAAGGGAGGGGGACCGGAGAAGAAAAGGGGGAAGGUUAGAGAAGUUGGUUAAAACUUGAUAAUAUAGAUGUACAUAGAUCUUAUGGAAAAAAAGAUACAUCUGGGCUUCGGGACUUCGCAGGUGGCUGCUAAACUUGAUAUAACCAAAUCAGUAGUGGGUCCAUUAAAUCACUUCUUUGUUCAGUUUGUGUUUUGUUUAUAUUCGUAUACGAGCUUUCGCUCACUACUGAUCCAUGUUUCAUUAUUUUCCUCGGGCUGGUUAUGUGGGCUACUUUCGGAAAGAGCGUGAGUUAUGGUAUUUGGAGUAUCUAGUUGUAUUUUUUCAUCGGGCUAAUCGAAAGAGCACGAGUUACGAUAUAAAGAAUAUCUAGUUGUAUAUUUUCAAACUGCUACUCCCGUAAGAUUUUCAGAUGUUGCCGCUCACUCCCUCCGUGUUCCUUUCUUUUGUGUGCGGUCAAGAUUUAGUAUUAGUUAAUUACACAUAUUGUAUCAAAUUCUCUAAUCUCAUUAAUCCAUACACUCAGUUCGUUGUUGGCGUAUUAAACAUAGAUAUCGACACAAACAUUAUAUCUAUGUUAACCAGUGCGUACCAAUGGAUCAUCACGGAUGUUGGUUCAUCGAAGGAUUUGACAAGAUUUCACACGGUUUCUAAAUGUUUUUGGCGCGGUACCCGUAUUCUUAUGGUGGGGGUGUUCUGAAUUCGUGUCACCAUAGUCUACAAUGCUAUUACAUGAGGGUGGGGGAAGGCAAGAGUGAGGCUCCGUUGGAUUGGUGGCGGUUAGUGUAUUGACGGUUGUUGCUUUGGCAGUGUAGAUGAAGCAGAACCGACAUGGAUUGAUUACACAAGAAUAAAUCAAGUUAAUUCAAGAAAGUAUGCAAAUAAUGGCAGUUCUUAUCCAGUUUGAUAUCUCCGUUUCAGAUCAUUGUCACCCAUCAUCGACAAACGGGAAUUGUUUAGGUAAGUCCCAUGUGAAGAAAGCCAUGGGCUAAGGUAAUAUAUUAAUAUUAUAUCACACACUAUUUAUCUCUCUAAUUUAAGGGCAUGGUUACGUAUAUCUUAGCCUCCUUAGAUGAUGCUUUAAGCGGGAAUAUGUUUGGUUUGGUUUGGUUGGAUAUUUUCAUUCUAAGAUUGUAAGUUGUUGGAAUUUAUUAUAAUUUUAGUGGAUUCAAGUGUUUAAUUCGGGCCAUUAAAUCAUUACUAAGUUCUAGUAAUCGUAUAUAUGUGUAAUUUUUAGUUAGACACGUUAAUCUCAUUUUUAUUUAUCAUCUUAAUUUAAUUCGUUAAAAUUUUAGUUCAGAUUGAUGUGAAUCGUUGGAUACGAUAAAUAUUUUGAUUCUCACCUGUAAUAUAUUAAAUUUUAUUUUUAUAAAUAUUAAUUUAAAAAUAUAUAUAAAUAUAAAAUCCGGACAAUCAAUAUAUAUAUAUAAAGGAGGAUGCGGGCGUCUCUAGAAUUGUUCGAUUCAGUCUUCUGAUUUUUCUUAAAUUUCGGAGAGAAAAUAUAAUUAUAAUUCAAAAAUAAGGUUCAAGAAUUCUAAAAGUAAUACAACUCUUUUCUUAUUGAAUUCUAAAAAUGAUACAACUCUUUUUCUUUUUAUUUAGUAUUUCUUAUUGAAUUCUAAAGAUAAUACAAUUUUUUUCUUAUUUAGUAAUCCAAAAAGAAAUAGAAUUAUAUUUAAAAAAUUAGGUUUUAACCAAUGACUAGGAAUCAUAAAAUAAUAAUAAUUAACAAAAAAAAUAGGAUAUAUAAAAUAAGAAUCAUAUAUUGAUUUUAUAAUAAUGUAAAUGAUUCUUGAUUAGUAUUGUGUUUGACGUGCACGGGAGGCGGCCCAAACUAAUUUUUAUCUAAAUAAUAAUAAUUUUCCAAUUAGUAUUAUGUUUGACGAGAAAGUGGCUAAUAUAAUUUUUAUCUAUGUUAUAAUUUUUUUUUGUUGAAACGGCG